ACAGGGAUUGCCCCAGUAACGGCGAGUGAAGCGGCAACAGCUCAAAUUUGAAAUCUGGUCCCCUUUGGGGGCCCGAGUUGUAAUUUGAAGAGGAUGCUUUUGGCGAGGCGCCGUCCGAGUUCCCUGGAACGGGACGCCGCAGAGGGUGAGAGCCCCGUACGGUCGGACGCCGAGCCUCUGUAAAGCUCCUUCGACGAGUCGAGUAGUUUGGGAAUGCUGCUCAAAAUGGGAGGUAAACCCCUUCUAAAGCUAAAUACCGGCCAGAGACCGAUAGCGCACAAGUAGAGUGAUCGAAAGAUGAAAAGCACUUUGAAAAGAGAGUUAAAAAGCACGUGAAAUUGUUAAAAGGGAAGCGCUUGCGACCAGACUUGCGCCCGUCGGAUCAACCGUCGCUUGCGGCGGCGCACUCCGGCGGGCUCAGGCCAGCAUCAGUUCGCUCGGGGGGAGAAAGGCGGCGGGAAUGUAGCUCCUAGGAGUGUUAUAGCCCGCCGUGUAAUACCCUCGGGUGGACUGAGGACCGCGCGUAUGCAAGGAUGCUGGCGUAAUGGUCGUCAGCGACCCGUCUUGAAACACGGACCAAGGAGUCGUCCUAAUAUGCGAGUGUACGGGUGUCAAACCCCUGCGCGUAAUGAAAGUGAACGGAGGUGAGAGCUUCGGCGCAUCAUCGACCGAUCCUGAUGUUAUCGGAUGGAUUUGAGUAAGAGCAUAUUGGGCCGGACCCGAAAGAAGGUGAACUAUGCCUGUGUAGGGUAAAGCCAGAGGAAACUCUGGUGGAGGCUCGCAGCGGUUCUGACGUGCAAAUCGAUCGUCAAACAUGGGCAUGGGGGCGAAAGACUAAUCGAACCUUCUAGUAGCUGGUUUCCGCCGAAG
rnacentral:rRNA from 1 species